GAUGGAGCAGGAAUCCUCCAGGGACAUCUCCAUGAAGCUUUCCUGGAGGUGUAAAUGUUUCUAUGCUCCCUCUAUCGUCUCCGUCCCUGAGAUUAUCGCAGAUUAGAAUGC